CAAUAGCGUAUAUUAAAGCUGUUGCGGUUAAAAAGCUCGUAGUUGGAUUUCUGUCAAGGACAACUGGUCCGCCCUCCGGGUGAGCACAUAGUUUGGUCUUGGCAUCUUGCUGGAAACUGUUGCUGCGCUUGGUUGUGUGGUGCAGCUUUCAGCACUUUCACUUUGAGGAAAUUGGAAUGUUUCAAGCAGGCACAUGCCUUUGGACACAGUAGCAUGGAAUAAUUAGAUUGGGCUUUUGCUCCAACUUGUUGGUUCCUGGAGCUGAGGUGAGAAUCAAUGGGGAUUGUUGGGGGCAUCCGAAUUUAGCCGUCAGAGGUGAAAUUCUUGGAUCUGCUAAAGACGGACAACUGCGAAAGCGUUUGCCCAGGAUGUUUUCAUUGA
rnacentral:rRNA from 1 species